rnacentral:rRNA from 1 species
AUUGAACGCUGGCGGCAGGCCUAACACAUGCAAGUCGAGCGGAUGAAGAGAGCUUGCUCUCUGAUUUAGCGGCGGACGGGUGAGUAAUGCCUAGGAAUCUGCCUGGUAGUGGGGGAUAACGUUCCGAAAGGAACGCUAAUACCGCAUACGUCCUACGGGAGAAAGCAGGGGACCUUCGGGCCUUGCGCUAUCAGAUGAGCCUAGGUCGGAUUAGCUAGUUGGUGAGGUAAUGGCUCACCAAGGCGACGAUCCGUAACUGGUCUGAGAGGAUGCUCAGGCACACUGGAACUGAGACACGGUCCAGACUCCUACGGGAGGCAGCAGUGGGGAAUAUUGGACAAUGGGCGAAAGCCUGAUCCAGCCAUGCCGCGUGUGUGAAGAAGGUCUUCGGAUUGUAAAGCACUUUAAGUUGGGAGGAAGGGUUGUAGAUUAAUACUCUGCAAUUUUGACGUUACCAACAGAAUAAGCACCGGCUAACUUCGUGCCAGCCGCCGCCGUAAGAC